UAUUUCAGCUGAAAAAGUCAAUAACAAUAAAAUUGUAUAACUCAUCAAGAUCUAUAACUUCUAUUUUGAUCAUUUCUUCAUCCAAUAAAGUGAUCAUAACAUAUUCUUAAAAUUUACAUUUACAUCUCUCUUGUAGUUUAUAAAACUAUAAGAGAUGUGUACAUUUUGUGAACAAUGUUACAAAUCACUUUAUCGGAUGAAGAAAUGACCAAAAUAGAAGUUAUAGAUCUUGAUGAGUUAUACAAUUUUAUUGUUGAUGACUUUUUCAGUUGAAAUC
rnacentral:pre_miRNA from 1 species